CUAGCAGAGUCGCUCUGCUAGGGCUGAGGGUUUCGUUGCCGUUAGGCAUGGAAUUCCAGCAAAUCUUUUCCUCCUUGAAGGGUACCUUUUCCGGCGCCGUCACUGGGAUCGUUAGCUUUGAUUAGCGGGCUUGGACGAUGUUGUUGGUGGUGGGUCUUGUUGUUGGAUUGGAGUGCAAUGGUAGCACUAUUGGAGCCAAUUCGAGGGAGGUGGUUGGUUCUGUUGGAGCAUAGGUCCAGAUUGGGUUCGCGGGCGGCGGAUCAAAGACAAGUAGUUGUCUGCUUGUGAUUGGAUCGAGGUGUACAGCUAGUGGUGGGACGAAGGCGUCUUCUUUGAACUGGAAUUUGGGUGGAGAUAAGGGUCGCGAACCUCUUGGUGUUGGUUUUGAGGCGUUUGGCGGCAGCGGGCGGCGUGCAGCAGGGAACAAAACGCCUGCGGUCUUCUUUUCUGGGCUAGACAGAGCACGAGAAAGGGUGCAAACGGAUCUGGGGAUCUUAGGGUUUAGGUCGGAUCCGGAUCUGGGAUCCGAGUCCAAUACGGAUCUGGAUUUGGUUCUCGGUUUGGGCUUGGUGUCGGGGUCAAAUCAUGUUGUAGCCCUGGGGUUCUUUUGCCCUUUUUUUGGUUUCAUUUGAUUUUGCUCUUUGUUAGUUAGGCAAGGUCAGUGACGGAAGGUUACCCGCUACUCAACCCACUUCGGUGUGGAGGUAUGGUGCACCAUAUCAUUGGUACAUUUUUUAGUUUCUUAAACAAGAUCGGUGACAGAAGAAUAUCCACUACUCGACGCAUUUCUUUGCAUGAAGGUAUGGUGUACUGUAUUGUCAGUACCUUUUUACAUAGCCCGGGUAUUGUUCGGUGCUUCAUCAAAUGCUUCAUUGCAUCCCUUUUUGUUGCUUUUCGUACGGUUUUUGGUAUAUCUCAAUUCGAUGUAGUUUCUAUAUCUGUCGGUUGUAAUAUUUUUAUUUAAUAAAGACUUCUCAAUUUGUUUCAAAAAAAAAAAAAUUGGUUAGUACUGAAAUUUUACUGAUCAGAGUGGCUGGAACCCUUGUUACAAGUGAUAAUUAAUCUCUCCCCCAAAAUAGUGAGAAACCUGGCCGUUUCUGCUAGGGUUGAGAAACACAGUAUUCCUACUAAGGCUUCGUGCAACUUCGUCUCUACACUGUGAUGGCGAAAGACAUGGCUUCUCAUUUGGUGGCAGCUCUAGCUCUGACGGAGGACGUGGUGGUGGAUUUUGGGGCAGUAGGUUCAGCAACAGUGGCAGAGAACUACCACUAUUUGGUAGGCAAUCUGAUUCAGCGUAAGGAGGGAGAUGAGAAGGGACUCCCUGGUACUCUCUUUGCUAUAUGGGCCCUAGGGAACCAGCUGGCUAUAUCAAUGUCAGGAGGAUGCCACUUUUUGUUUCGUUUCCGUCGCAAGGAAGAGUGCAACAAAAUCUUGUAUGGGGGCCCUUGGUUUUUCAAUAGCCGUAUGUUGAUCCUUAGAGAGUAUGAUGGAUUGUCUGAGAUCGACGGAGUGCCGCUGCAAUCUAUAGAAACAUGGGUGACGGUGACGCCUGUCUCCGCGUUUGCGUACAGAGGAGUCUCUCAUCUUGAUCGGUUCCUUCAUGGGAUGGUUUCUUCAUGCUGAUCCGACUACACUGCAGCGAUCCUCACCGGAACAUCGUGUCUAUGUCCUCCUCGAUUUGCAUUGCUGUUUGUGGUCAUUGAGGACGUUCCGCUUCACCAUCGAUAUAGUUGCUGACGUUGACUUGGGCUAUGAGCAGAUCAAAGGCCUCUGCAAGGGUUGUGGAUGGCUUUUCCAUGAAGUUGAUGGUUGUGAUAUGUUUCUGACUAUACAGGAAAAUUAGGCCAAGAGUUUUGAGGCGCCUAAGGUUUCGGUGCCUAUUGUCCCGAGACAGGUCAUCUCCAAGAAAGUUAUUGCUGUCCUUUGUGGCCAUAUGGUUUCUGAAAAGCCUAAUCUGCAGCACAUGGGCAAGGGACAAGCGGAGACUGCUACAUUGGAACUGCAUGGCACCAAAGGUCUGGACCCCUGGUGCCUCUGGUGCACAAUUUGGCAAAGCAACUUCAGCAGCGCGGUGCGGGCACAAUUCGGACUGAACCCGGCUGCUCUUAUGCCAUCAAGGCCAAUUUGGGAGCAUCUAUUCCCAACCUGAAGAUUGGUCUGCCUCUAGACCCACAGCUGAGGGGUCUACAACAGGGGACAAGUGCGUGGAUAUCCCAAGCAUUCUGGGGGUGUGUCACACCCCACGCUCUGAGCUACUCCGAGCUGGUAAUAAGGCUAAGGUGGAAACUAUGUAGUUAGACAAGCCUCUGGAAGUGGAUGAUGGGUUUGAUCUACCUAAUGAAAAUGGUGUGAUCUACAUCUUACCAACAAAGAAGAGAGGACGUCUGAAAGGCAGCAAGAACAAAUACAAGACAAAAGGCCCUAAACCUCGCAAGACAAGAUUUUCCAAGGUGACUAGGGAGGGAGAAAAUAAGGUGUUGGUUUUAGUGGAUACCAACGAGCAUACAACAGGUUUUGAGGCUGUGUGUGAGAAUCAUGAGGCAUUUGCCAAAGUUCUGGAAGAGGUGAAUGAGGGAAGUUACAUUAUGCUGCUAGCUAAUGCACCUUCCUUAUCUUUUGCUUGAAAUAUGACACCAAGGGCAUUCGGUUCAUCUGUGCAUCUUUUGAUUUUCCAUGGAUGAGUUAGAACUUUUUUGAAUGAGCUUCAUAGUUUCUUAAAAAGGUUGAAUUGUUUAGGUAAUGAUUUUUUUGUCAGCCAUAUGUGGGUAAAUUGUUAUGUAUGAUUCCGUUGAUCAAUGAAAAAGUUGUCAUAUUUUGUCAAAAAAAAAAAAAGUGAUAAAUAAAAAAACGAAGUGAAUCGAGAUAAAUA